GGCGAGGGGCGAGCGCGAGGUUGGGAGUCAAGGGCCGCCGCCGCCGCCGCUGGGCGGGAGGCCAGCGCCUCGAGCCGCCCCACACAGGUACCGCACGCUGCCCUGCUAGCCUCGGCGGGCAAAGCGGUAAACAAGCCCCUGGCCCCGCUUCCAGGCCGAGCUCGUUCGCCGUGAGGCAGAGCAGUUACACCCAGCGGUGUCCUGCUGCGGCUGCUCUUCCUCUAGGCAGCCGUGCGCUGAGGAGAAAGUCUGAAAUUCCUUCCCCUGCAGUUUGCUGACAGUGACCAAGUAAAGAACAAACACCCCAAAACGCUAAGCGAGAGGCGCCGCUUAGCCCCGCUUGUAUUAAUAGUGUAUCUAUUCAACAGAAGGAUUUGGCCUUAAGUCAGAAAGAUGAGAUAAACAGGAUAACCAUUAAAACACAAAAACAUAUGGUAUCACCAACUGCGUGAAGAUCAACAUCAGAUUAAGUCCCAUUCAGUGAGCAGUGUUUAUGCAUCGUGUGGCCAGACAGGAUGUUCUACUGAUGCUUCAGACAGGGCUCCAGCUGUGUUGUAUGAAGUACAGGGACUGCAUCUCACUGCUGAAGUGAGAGAAACUACCAGAAUGUGGGAAAACCACUUUCAGUCUCUGAAGAGCCAUGUGCCACUUCAGUAUGUUGGGACAUGAGGAAAAACUGGGAUUGAACAGCAACCUGAUUAUCAACAGCAUAAGGUGGUAAGAAAAUGACAAAGCAAGGAGAGAAAAGAGUGUACGAAUCUCUACAAUAUUUUCAGGUAUGGAGUCAGAAGACUGGUUAGGAUUGGUAAAUUCGAGUUUUACAAGAGGUUGAAAGCUCUUUAUCAAUACACUUAAGCAGUUUACAGGAUUCUGGGAUAUAACUUCAGCUGAGU